UACGGGGGGGGCAAGCGUUGUUCGGAAUUACUGGGCGUAAAGGGCUCGUAGGUGGCCAACUAAGUCAGACGUGAAAUCCCUCAGCUUAACUGGGGAACUGCGUCUGAUACUGGAUGGCUUGAGAUUGGGAGAGGGAUGCGGAAUUCCAGGUGUAGCGGUGAAAUGCGUAGAGAUCCGGAAGAACACCGGUGGCGAAGGCGGCCUGCUGGGCUAUGGCUGACACUGAGGCGCGACAGCGUGGGGAGCAAACAGG
rnacentral:rRNA from 1 species